GCCAGGCGCAGUGGCGCGUGCCUAUAGUCCCAGCUACUCAGGAGGUUGAGGUGGGAGGUUCGCUUGAGCCCAGGAGUCCUGGGCUGUAGUGUGCUAUGCUGAUCGGGUGUCUGAACUAAGUUCGGCAUCAAUAUUGUGACCUCCCAGGAGCAGGGGACCACCAGGUUGCCUAAGGAGGAGUGAACCGGCCCAGGUCGGAAACGGAGCAGGUCAAAACUCCAAUACUGAUCAGUAGUGGGACUGCGUCUGUGAAUAGCCACUGCACUCCAGCCUGGGCAACAGAGCAAGACCCCAUCUCU
ensembl:misc_RNA Metazoa_SRP Metazoan signal recognition particle RNA